CACGUAGGGUGCAAGCGUUGUCCGGAAUUAUUGGGCGUAAAGGGCUCGUAGGCGGUCCGUCGCGUCGGGAGUGAAAACUCGGGGCUCAACCCCGAGCCUGCUUUCGAUACGGGCGGACUAGAGGUAGGUAGGGGAGAACGGAAUUCCUGGUGUAGCGGUGGAAUGCGCAGAUAUCAGGAGGAACACCAAUGGCGAAGGCAGCUCGCUGGAACGGUACUGACGCUGAGGCGCGAAAGCGUGGGGAGCGAACAGG
rnacentral:rRNA from 1 species